rnacentral:tRNA from 1 species
AAUUAAUGAGCUUGAAUAAGCAUAUGUUUUGAAAACAUAAGAUAAUAAAUAAUAUUUAUUAUUAAUUU